rnacentral:rRNA from 1 species
UAAGAGGUCCUGCCUGCCCCGUGACUAAAUGUUUAACGGCCGCGGUACUUUGACCGUGCGAAGGUAGCGCAAUCACUUGUCUUUUAAAUGGAGACCGGUAUGAAUGGCAAGACGAGGGCCUAACUGUCUCCUUUUUCCAGUCAAUGAAAUUGAUCUCCCCGUGCAGAAGCGGGGAUUAACACAUAAGACGAGAAGACCCUGUGGAGCUUUAGACACCAAGACAGCUUAUGUUACACAACUCUAUAUAAAGACCCGAACGAAAUAAACCCUGCCCAGAUGUCUUUGGUUGGGGCGACCGCGGGGAAACGAAAAACCCCCGAGUGGACAGGGAGAACAAUAUACUCCUACAAAUAAGAGCCCCCGCUCUAAUUAACAGAAACUCUGACCUACCAGAUCCGGCCUAGCCGAUCAACGAACCGAGUUACCCCAGGGAUAACAGCGCAAUCCUCUUUCAGAGCUCAUAUCGACAAGAGGGUUUACGACCUCGAUGUUGGAUCAGGACAUCCUAAUGGUGCAGAAGCUAUUAAGGGUUCGUUUGUUCAACG